GACGAACGCUGGCGGCGUGCCUAAUACAUGCAAGUAGAACGCUGAAGGAGGAGCUUGCUUCUCUGGAUGAGUUGCGAACGGGUGAGUAACGCGUAGGUAACCUGCCUGGUAGCGGGGGAUAACUAUUGGAAACGAUAGCUAAUACCGCAUAAUAGCAGUUAUUGCAUGAUAACUGUUUGAAAGGUGCAAUUGCACCACUACCAGAUGGACCUGCGUUGUAUUAGCUAGUUGGUGGGGUAACGGCUCACCAAGGCGACGAUACAUAGCCGACCUGAGAGGGUGAUCGGCCACACUGGGACUGAGACACGGCCCAGACUCCUACGGGAGGCAGCAGUAGGGAAUCUUCGGCAAUGGACGGAAGUCUGACCGAGCAACGCCGCGUGAGUGAAGAAGGUUUUCGGAUCGUAAAGCUCUGUUGUAAGAGAAGAACGAGUGUGAGAGUGGAAAGUUCACACUGUG
rnacentral:rRNA from 1 species